CUCUCUCUCUCUCUCUCUCUCUGUGUCUCCAGACCAAAACAAGAUCGAUCUAGUUUUUUCUCCCCUCCUUUUAAUUUUCGAUCUCUCUCCUCUCUAGUGUUUUGAAUCUUCUGGGUGACUGUUGCAGUAAGGAAAAGAUCUCGUCUCCCAUCACUUAGCACUACAAAGAACUCGAAGCCGCCAUUCACUUGCUCCAAGCUCUGUGUCGAGGUCCAAAAUGGCGUUAACUUUAAGCCAAGGAGGGAUUCUCGAGAAGAACGGCUCUCCGUUUGAAGCCUUCAGCUUUGUUUCAUUUCUCUCAAGAUCUGACCCGUUGCCGCUUAAUCUCCAGGCCUCGAUCAAAAGUUAGUCGAGGUUAGAAGUUGCUUGGAUGUUGGUCAAAUAAAAAACCCAAGCUUGAGCCCUUCGAUCUCUCUCUCUCUCUCUCUCUUCGUCAAACCCUAAAAUUCCAUUCUCAGAUGCCAAGUUCUCUGGCAGUCUAGUUCCUAUCGAAUCUAUGCCUUAUCUUCUCCAAGGGUUCGUAGACAAAAGAAUGUGGCAUCCCUAUCAAAAUCUUGUGAGUGAUGGUACUUUUAAUCAGCUUCUACAGCGUGGUGUUUCCUCAGACCAGCUUUACGAUACCAUUUGCAAGCAGGUGCGAGAUAUAACUUAUAUAUGGCAGACAGAUGAGCUUAGACGUCAUAAACCCACACCAGUUGAUGAAGCUAGGGUUUGAACAUUGUGGAGCAGUCCCUUUGGAAAGCUGUACCUCAUUAUUUACAUCGUGUCAGCAAUAAAUAAGGAGUCAAUCAUUAAGGAGAUAACCGAAAACCCUUAAUAUGCUGCUGGCAAGCUGCUAUUCUCCGCUCAAUGUACCAAUUACACUCCAAUGGAUUUUGAGUUCCCAAUGGAGUUUCUUGAGGCUGGGAAUGUAUACAAGUAUGCAAAGAACUAUGUUUCUCGGCGAUCCGUAAGCUGUUGUUACCACUGCUUGACAGAUUACUUGCUUGAUAGUACUUGACAGUUUCGUCAGGAGAUCAUACAUAUAUUAGGUAAUCAUAUAACCAUUUCCUUAAUCUUGUGUGUUUCAGAAUUUUAAUUGUUCCACAGCAAUAAUUUUAGUUGAUAUCUCAUAUUAUGGCUAUGUAACAGUCUUGGCUUGUCUAAAUUCUGGAGCAGAGGAGAAUCAGGAGUUCAUUG